rnacentral:rRNA from 1 species
CAGAGGUCUCAAGCGUUGUUCGGAUUCAUUGGGCGUAAGGGUGCGUAGGUGGCGAGGUAAGUCUGGUGUGAAAUCCCGGGGCUCAACCCCGGAACUGCACUGGAUACUGCCCUGCUUGAGUACUGGAGAGGAGAUUGGAAUUUACGGUGUAGCAGUGAAAUGCGUAGAUAUCGUAAGGAAGACCAGUGGCGAAGGCGAAUCUCUGGACAGUUACUGACACUGAGGCACGAAGGCCAGGGAGCAAACGGGAUU